rnacentral:rRNA from 1 species
GACAGAGGGUGCAAACGUUGUUCGGAUUUACUGGGCGUAAAGCGCGUGUAGGCGGCUUGGCAAGUCGGAUGUGAAAGCCCACGGCUCAACCGUGGAAGCGCAUCCGAAACGGCCUCGCUCGAGUCUCGGAGAGGAAGGUGGAAUGCUUGGUGUAGAGGUGAAAUCCGUAGAUAUCAAGCAGAACACCUGCGGCGAAGGCGGCCUUCUGGACGAUGACUGACGCUGAGACGCGAAAGCGUGGGGAGCAAACAGG